UCAUGAUGAUAUACCAGCUGGCACCAGUCAUAGAGCGACUUGUACUCCCUUUCCUUGAUGACCAAAUGCUGUGUGGUCCACCAGACCCUUUAUCUGAU
rnacentral:snoRNA from 1 species